AUACGUAGGGUGCGAGCGUUGUCCGGAAUUACUGGGCGUAAAGAGCUCGUAGGUGGUUUGUCGCGUCGUCUGUGAAAUUCCGGGGCUUAACUCCGGGCGUGCAGGCGAUACGGGCAUAACUUGAGUACUGUAGGGGAGACUGGAAUUCCUGGUGUAGCGGUGAAAUGCGCAGAUAUCAGGAGGAACACCGGUGGCGAAGGCGGGUCUCUGGGCAGUAACUGACGCUGGGGAGCGAAAGCAUGGGUAGCGAACAGGAUUAGAUACCCUGGUAGUCCAUGCCGUAAACGGUGGGCGCUAGGUGUAGGGGUCUUCCACGACUUCUGUGCCGUAGCUAACGCAUUAAGCGCCCCGCCUGGGGAGUACGGCCGCAAGGCUAAAACUCAAAGGAAUUGACGGGG
rnacentral:rRNA from 1 species